GACGAACGCUGGCGGCGUGCUUAACACAUGCAAGUCGAACGGAAAGGCCCUGCUUUUGUAGGGUGCUCGAGUGGCGAACGGGUGAGUAACACGUGAGUAACCUGCCCUUGACUUUGGGAUAACUUCAGGAAACUGGGGCUAAUACCGGAUAGGAGCUCCUGCUGCAUGGUGGGGGUUGGAAAGUUUCGGCGGUUGGGGAUGGACUCGCGGCUUAUCAGCUUGUUGGUGGGGUAGUGGCUUACCAAGGCUUUGACGGGUAGCCGGCCUGAGAGGGUGACCGGCCACAUUGGGACUGAGAUACGGCCCAGACUCCUACGGGAGGCAGCAGUGGGGAAUAUUGCACAAUGGGCGGAAGCCUGAUGCAGCAACGCUGCGUGCGGGAUGACGGCCUUCGGGUUGUAAACCGCUUUCGCCUGUGACGAAGCGUGAGUGACGGUAAUGGGUAAAGAAGCACCGGCUAACUACGUG
rnacentral:rRNA from 1 species